CAGAGGGAGGAAGUGACUAGUGACAGAGGGAGGGAGUGACUAGUGAUGGAGGGAGGUAGUGACUAGUGACAGAGUGAGGGAGGGGGUGACUGUCACUAGUCACCCCAUCCCUCUCUCUGUCACUAGUCACUCCCUCCCUAACUCUGUCACUGUGUCACCCACUCCCUCACUCUGUCACUGUGUCACCCGCUCCCUCUCUCUGUCACUAGUCACCCCAUCCCUCUCUCUGUCACUAGUCACCCCAUCCCUCUCUCUG